GGGUGAAGGAACUAGGCAAAAUGGUACCGUAACUUCGGGAGAAGGUACGCUCUCGACGGUGAAGUCCCUCGCGGAUGGAGCUAUUGAGAGUCGCAGAUACCAGGUGGCUGCAACUGUUUAUUAAAAAACACAGCACUGUGCAAAAGUGAAGGA
rnacentral:rRNA from 1 species